CACGGCCGGCAAGGGCGGGACUGGCCCGCUGCGGGCGGACUGGGGAGCCGCGGAGAUAACGGGUCCAGACGCUGGCGGCGGCGGCGGCUUUCUCUGCACGGGCGGAGGCGGCAGCAGGAGCAGCGAGUAUGGCCCGCGCGGCGCUCGGCGCUGACUGAGAGUCAUGCUGCGGCAGCCUGGCGCCUGACGAGUGAGGGGAACCUGCCAGGGGAUUACUGCUAGCUCAAGGCAGGACAGAGGCCUCAGGGGAGCGGAGAUGGGCAGAGCAGCCUCCAAGCCUGGGCCAGCAGCACCAAGACAGAGGCCUGGGCCCUGGCCUGGAGCUUGGCACACACUCGCUCGGCUCACACUCGCUCGGCUGACCCUGAUGGCAUUCGAAGCAACACCCUGCUGAGAAGCGGCUGUUCCCAGGCCCCAGAGGACCUCAGAGCAGCAGCCGGAGUUUGACCACCCCUACACAACUGCAGUUGGGGCUGCGACCGUCGGGGGAAGGGGCUGGCGCCUCGGAUGGGAAGUAGAAGGGCAGAACCUAACGCCAGGAGGAUCUUGGUCUCUGAAGAGUUUUCUGGAACCCACAGAGCUUCCUGGGUUUCUUCUCUCUGGAUUGGGGCUUGGUUCCCUUUCCUCCCCUGGCAGAGGGGUUGGGCCCUGAGGGCCAACUGAGAGAGGGAAGACUCUUACAUGAAAUUCAGGCUGCUUGAAGCCCACGUGCUCUCUGCUGUGAUUGGGGUUCAAGGGCUUCCCUGCUGCAGGGGACGAGGGGCCGCCUCGGCAUCUGCUCAUGAGCCACAAGGACCCCGAAUGCUCCAGACUGGAUCGUUUCAAGCCGCCAAAGAGGGGGACCCCCAGAGCUGGCAGCCAGCAACCCCAAGGGACUAGAGGGCUGGGAUGGACUGACCUCCCCCUUGCCAGGGCUCCGGGAGAAGCAGAGCCUCUGUGGCCCAGCUAGUGACGGAGAGACCCAAUGAAGCCAUAAGCAGGGCCAGGCGGCUCAGGGACAGGGGAGCCACUGCUGCCGACGUGCUUUCUCCUGACGCUGAGGGAGGGCGUGGCGUGGGACUCCUGCCCCUGUCCCCUCCUCGGCACGUGCCCAUAUGCCCUUUGCGCGUGGUGCCAGAACAAGCAGGCUACGCUGUGGCUGGCCCAUCAGCGGGCUGGGAAAGGAGUGGUCACGGUGACACCCGCCUGACUGCCGGGCUGAGGCCCCGGAUCCCCGGGGCGCCGAACCAUGAAGUGCUCCCUGCGGGUGUGGUUCCUCUCCGUGGCCUUCCUGCUGGUGUUCAUCAUGUCACUGCUGUUCACCUAUUCCCACCACAGCAUGGCCACCCUGCCCUACCUGGACUCGGGCACCCUGGAUGGGACCCACCGGGUGAAGCUGGUGCCCGGCUAUACCGGCCUUCAGCGCCUCGGCAAGGAGGGGCCCGCCGGCAAGAGCUGUGCCUGUCGCCGCUGCAUGGGCGACGCUGGCGCCUCUGAGUGGUUUGAUAGCCACUUCAACAGCAACAUUUCCCCGGUCUGGACCCGAGAGAACAUGGACCUGCCCCCAGAGGUCCAGAGGUGGUGGAUGAUGUUGCAGCCCCAGUUCAAGUCACACAACACCAACGAGGUGCUGGAGAAGCUGUUCCAGAUAGUACCAGGCGAGAACCCCUACCGUUUCCGGGACCCUCGCCGGUGCCGGCGCUGUGCUGUGGUGGGGAACUCGGGCAACCUGCGGGGCUCUGGCUACGGCCCGGAUGUGGACGGGCACAACUUCAUCAUGAGGAUGAAUCAGGCGCCAACCGUGGGCUUUGAGCAGGAUGUCGGCAGCCGAACCACCCACCAUUUCAUGUACCCCGAGAGUGCCAAGAACCUGCCCGCCAACGUCAGCUUCGUGCUGGUGCCCUUCAAAGCCCUGGACCUACUGUGGAUCGCCAGCGCCCUGUCCACGGGGCAGAUCCGAUUCACCUAUGCCCCAGUGAAGUCCUUCCUUCGAGUGGACAAAGAAAAAGUCCAGAUCUACAACCCAGCCUUCUUCAAGUACAUCCACGACAGGUGGACAGAGCAUCAUGGGCGGUACCCUUCCACUGGGAUGCUGGUACUCUUCUUUGCUCUGCAUGUGUGUGAUGAGGUGAACGUGUACGGGUUCGGGGCCGACAGCCGGGGCAACUGGCACCACUACUGGGAGAAUAACCGGUACGCGGGCGAGUUCCGGAAGACGGGCGUGCAUGACGCCGACUUCGAGGCCCACAUCAUCGACAUGCUGGCCAAGGCCAGCAAGAUCCAGGUCUACCGAGGGAACUGAGCCCGACCCAGCCGUGACUCUUCCGGCCCUACCGCGAGGCGCCGGCAAGCGCUCCAGCCGGGACUCAGGGUCAGCCCGGGGGGGGUGGCCUAAACGCGGGCGCGGUGCCCUAUUAGGCGUCAGCAGGCAAUCGGGAGCGACGCCGCCGCAGUCUGGACCAAUCAUGCUGCAGUCUAGCGAGCGCCGGCUAUCCUCCGCCAAUCACGAGACUCUGGGUGCUGGCUGGGCCUAGCAUUAAUCAGCGCUGCCGCCGGCCGGAGCCUCUGUUUCUCCCAGCCAAUCAUGCGACUCAAGGAGAACUUCCGGCGCUGGGGCCCAUCUCCUCCAAUCAAUGGCCUUCGGAGGCGGGCCAGCGGCCGAUCAAUCCCCACUCCCGUAUGCUUUUGGGUAGGAUUUUAUCGAUAUUUCACGCUUUCAAAGGAGCAGAAGUUCCGGCCUCGAGAAGUACUUUCUUCAGGCUCGGCAGGAGGCGUCUCAGUCGCCGGCCGGCCUGACCCCGCAGGGGGCGCGGAGGAGGAAACGGUGGGGAAGGUGCGGGACAGUAGCGGCCCGGUCUCCCCUUCCCGGAGGUCCCUCAUGGCCUCGGGGUGGGCGGAGGGGCGUUCGCGGAGGCUGGCGGGUGGUCAGGUGGUUUCCAAGGAGCGCGUUUUUCCCCAGGGGAAAAGUUAGAGCCCUCCCAAACCGCUCUGGACCUCCGAGAGAACUAGACCCCACAUUUCCUUUAUCGGUCAGGCGCAGAUGGGUGAGUGCAAACCCACCAAAGAAAUGCGGUGAGAAUCCAGAGGGCAUGUGGGUCCCCUCCUCCUGCCUCCUCCCCUCCCGCCUUUGGCCACCCUAUGGAAUGGCCUUUCUGACCAUGGCAUUUAGUGUCUCACCAGAAAACUAGAAUUGUUUUCACGUCUUGCUGGGGGCGGAAUUCGCCUAGGGCUUAACUCUGGAACACAGGUGUAAGAAUAGGGCAGGAGACAAGGAAGCCCCGUCACAUCAGAUGUAAGGUACACUCACGUGUACCCUCGGCCCCUGUUCGCCCACAACCUUUUUUAAGCGUCUCUCCCUAGGCCCUGGGCCUCCUCACCAGCCUACUUGUUGCUCUGGGAAAAAAAAAAAAAUCAAAACUUGCCCUGAUUGGGGCACUGCUGCUCCCCGCCCUUCUCCCUUUGUCUGGCUCUAGGGAAAGGGAGCAACACGUAGGAAAGAAGGCUGGAGAUGCUUUGGGCUCAUGAUUUAGCUAACCUGAAGUUACUAGGGGUGGCUGACCAACAGAUUCUUUGCAAAUAGUAAGCUGGCCAUGCAAAUAGCUGGGGAGGAGUAGACUUGCCCCCUGCAUGCCUCCUCCCCUGCCCACACAUCCCUUCCCCCUUGCUCACCUCCUGCCUUUUCCCUCUAACCCACUUUCCAUUUCCAGCUCUAGAAGGGCUGUGACGCUAACAACCAGAGGUUACAGCUGGAAGCUACUUGCAUGACUGAACCCAGAUUAAGUCCCUAGAGGAAGCUGCUGAAGGUGUUCUCACCUUUCAAGGUUGGGGAAGUGUAGGAGGGGUGAAAGGGCUUCUGUGAAGCUUCCAAACCACUAAAAGGAUCCCCCUUCUCAACAGUGACGGACACAAAAACCACCCUUUUUUCUUGUAAACUACUGUCAUUCUCCAUGAUUCAGAUGGUGAGUGAAUGAAACGAGGAAGAAGUCACCCACCCUUCCAUAACUCAAUUUGGAUGGCAGCACCAAUCUCUGCAAAUCCUGCUGGAAUGUGGGAGAAGGCUUGGUGAAGUAGAAAGAACAUAUGGUGUCUGCAUUCAGAAGGAUCUGAGUUCAAUCCUUCUUUUGCUCUGAGGUAUACAUCCUGAGUGAGUCUCAGCUGGGCUCAGAGAGGAGCGGGACUGGUAUUUUCACCGUGGGCAACAACACAGUGGAAGCCCCCAUGUGCCUAUCACUAGGAGCCAUGAUGUAAUGCUGGGGCAGCUACAUGCUGGAAUGAUGCUUGUUGAGAGUGAGGCACAUCCAUGUCACAUGUCCAAGAUACACGGGUUUUUUUGAUGUGGACCAUUUCCAAAGUCUCUAUUGAACCCGUUACAACAUUGCUUCUGUUCCAUGCCCUGGCCCCUUGGCCCCGAGGCAUGUCGGAUCCCAGCUCCCUGACCAGGGAUCGAACCGGCACCCCCUACACUGGAAGGCAAAGUCUCAACCACUGGACUGCCAGGGAAGUCCCUAGCCUGGACUCUUCAAGAUGUACAUGUCAUGAAAGGUGGAGAAACUGUUAUAGAUUAAGGGAGUCUCAAGAGAGACUAAAUGCAACAGACAAUCUCUGAUUGGCUCUUAGGUUUAACAGCAGCAGCCAAAAGCAAUAAAGGCCAUUUUGGUACACAUGGGGAAAGUGGCAUAUGAUGGACGACAGAGAGGACACUAUCGCUGCAUCAUUGUGAAAGGUGUGACAAUGGUACUGUGCUCAUGCAGGAGCACGUCUCAUUCUUAGGAAGCAUUUAGGUGGGAAGUGUCCUGAUAUCUACAACUGACUUUAAAAUGAUUCAGCAAGGGACUUCCCUGGUGGCGCAGUGGUUAAGAAUCCACCUACCAGAAACUAACACACUAUUGUAAAGCAAUUAUACUCCAA